rnacentral:rRNA from 1 species
CUAGUCUUAUCGGUGGAUCACUCGGCUCGUGGAUCGAUGAAGAACGCAGCCAACUGCGAUAAUUAGUGCGAACUGCAGAAACCUUGAACACAAACUUUCGAAUGCACAUUGCGCCAUUGGAGUUACAUCCAUUGGCACGCCUGGUUCAGGGUCGUA